CCUACGGGUGGCAGCAGUGAGGAAUAUUGGUCAAUGGGCGGAAGCCUGAACCAGCCAAGUAGCGUGCGGGAUGAAGGCCCUACGGGUCGUAAACCGCUUUUGCACGGGGAUAACACCCUCCACUUGUGGAGGUCUGCAGGUACCGUGCGCAUAAGGGCCGGCUAAUCCCGUGCCCGCAGCCGCGGUAAUGCGGAAGGCCCGAGCGUUAUCCGGAUUCAUGGGGCUUAACGGGAGCGUAGGCGGGCGUUCAAGUCAGCUGUAAAAUCGGGCGGCUCAACCGCGCCCCGCAGUUGAAACUGGACGCCUUGAGGUCACAACAGGCAGGCGGAAUUCGGGGUGUAGCGGUGAAAUGGAUAGAU
rnacentral:rRNA from 1 species